GGAAGGAUCAUUACCGGUUACCCGACACAAUUCGCGUUGUGUUCGGAGAAUCAUUCGAUUACCACAGACACGGCUUCGGCCGUCGGUCAGUCUCAGUUGAGUGUCAGUGCCGUCAGUUUGACCGUCGCUGGGGUCGGGCCUGAAAACCCGACACCGGCAAGAGGGCGGUCUGUUGAAUACCGGUUCCGUGCUUCCGGGGUACCUGUCUCGCUCGACCGUCCUUCCCUGUCGAGCGGGGUGAGCAGCGAAUCGCCGACCGUCUCCCUGUCGGCGAUUUGCGGCGACGGUUCAAAGAACCGGACGUCGGUGGCUGUGACGGGGCGCGCGUCGUUGCCUUCUCGCGACGAGCGUUUCCGUCCGGCUGCUGGCGAUCGGUCGCCCCAGAAGCCGUUUUUCUGUCGUCAUAUUUCGUACGGUCAUACUUUGCCACUGGUGCGUCGGUCGGCGGCAGCGACGAGUCGCCUUGUCGUCUGACGUCGGUACGGCGCAGCCUAGUUACCAAGUUACGCAAUACGAUACAACUCUAAGCGGUGGAUCACUCGGCUCGUGUGUCGAUGAAGAGCGCAGCCAGCUGCGUGAAGUAAUGUGAAUUGCAGGACACAUUGAACAUCGAUAUCUUGAACGCAUAUUGCGGCCUCGGGCAUUCCCGAAGCCACGCCUGUCUCAGGGUCGGUUGAACCUAUCUAUCGCCGGUUGUCCUCCCAUUGCCGGCGCAAUGGUCGUCGCGGCGCGCACGUUCUCGAAGCACGGUCGGUCGUUCUCAUUUGCCGACCGUGUUGCGCGCCACGUCGUCCGAAGUACAGACGGGUCUGCCGAUGCUACGCCGACCGCACGUCCUCGGUCCGCCAGUCGGACGGGGGCGGCGACUCGGAUCUCUCUGUCGGAGAAGCCGUUGCCCGUCGUGGCGGUACGGUUGGCGUAGGCGUUGGCGAUCCAACUUACUCGUGUUGUCGUGUAUUCUUUCUUCGACCUGAGAUCAGACGAGAUUACCCGCUGAAUUUAAGCAUAUUAAUAAGCGGAGGAAAAGAAACUAACCAGGAUUCCCCUAGUAACGGCGAGUGAAGCGGGAAGAGCCCAGCACCGAAUCGCACGCCGCAACUGGCGUCGCGAACUGUGGUGUUUAGGACGAGCGCAUGCACGGCGAGACGGCGUCCGAGUCCUCCUGAUCGGGGCUUUGCCAGAGCGGGUGUCAGCCCUCUACGGCGCCGGAUCGACGUGCCCGCCACGUCCUCGGAGUCGGGUUGUUUGAGAAUGCAGCCCAAAGCGGGUGGUAAACUCCAUCUAAGGCUAAAUACGGACACGAGUCCGAUAGCGAACAAGUACCGUGAGGGAAAGUUGAAAAGAACUUUGAAGAGAGAGUUCAACAGUACGUGAAACCGUUUAGAGGCAAACGGAGAGGACCGCAAAGUCUGCGCGUCGGAUUCAAUUCGCCGGCCGCGCGGCGUCCGUGCCGUGGCAUCCGCAAGGAGUUCGGUGCGGGCGUUGGAGCGCGCGGCGGCGGGUGCACUUUCGGCGCGCGGAGCGCCACGACCGGUUCGGUGGCGGUCAGAAGCCCUCGCGGAAGGUGACCGAUCCCUCGCGGGAUCGGUGUUAUAGCCGCGGGUGGCGUCGGCCCGUCGCCGGACCGAGGAAGACACGCGAGGCCGGUGGCGGCCGCCGUCGACUCGUUCGUCCGUUCGAUCUGUGGGGACUGUCGUCAGUGCCCGCUAACCGCGGGCGUUCGGUGUCGGCGGCCGGUCGUCGCCGGCCUGGGGUCGGUGGCGAAUCGGUCGGUCACCUGUCCGACCCGUCUUGAAACACGGACCAAGGAGUCUAACAUGUGCGCGAGUCAGUGGGUGAUACGAAACCUAGAGGCACAGUGAAAGCAAAGGCCGGCCCUCGCGGUCGGCCCGGGUAGGAUCCUUCGCCGCACGCGGCGGAGGCGCACUACCGGCCCGUUUCGGCCGCAACGUCGGCGAGGCGGAGCGAGAGCGUACACGUUGGGACCCGAAAGAUGGUGAACUAUGCCCGAGUAGGACGAAGCCAGAGGAAACUCUGGUGGAGGUCCGCAGCGAUUCUGACGUGCAAAUCGAUCGUCAAACUUGGGUAUAGGGGCGAAAGACUAAUCGAACCAUCUAGUAGCUGGUUCCUGC
rnacentral:misc_RNA from 1 species